CUGGCUCGGGAGCCGGCCUUCCUCUGCGUGUUCCGUUUUCGCCUGAGUGCCCCCGGGCAACCCAGGAGAGUCACUGACGCUUCCAGUUUCGCCGCCCGCGGGCGGGGUGGGGACUGUCAGGCCACGGCGGAGGGGUCAGGGCUUCCUGUUUUGUGUUGCAAAUUUACGUGGAUUUGGGGUUUUGUAGUUCCGUAAUAGAGCUGCGUUUGUUUUUCAUAUGUAGUAUCCCUCCCUGUUGAAUAAUCGAGUGCAAUUUACGCUCCAUGCAGAUGUGUCGCGUUUUUUUCUGUGGCUUCUUGUACGUCACCCCACCCCGGGUUAGUCUAUACUACAACCCAGUAGAACAGCCACCUUUCUGUCUGUAAACCCAUCUCUUUUAGUUCUUUCAAUCGUUAACCGCUUUAAAACCCAACUUUCUUUCCACAGACCUCCAUCGUGUCAGACGAUAAAGCACUUGCGCGAGGUGCCGGAGACCAAGAUGAUAACAGGUUUUACUGUUUGUGUAUCCUCAGUACAUACAGAGACAGUUAUGACUGCAAUAUGAAAUUUAUCUUGGGAGCCAAGAGCCCUUUGAUUUCCCUGACAGAUACAAAAAGGCCUGAAGCUGGGAAUUUAAAAAAAAAUUUUUCCCACUCACAGUAGUGGAUUAAAAUUUUCUGCUUCAUUUUCUUUCAUAAAAAGAAAUUCUUGCCUACGGUUGAGGGUGAAGAUGAUCUCUGUGACACCUCCCAGCUUUGAAAUUCCCAGAUGCCUGGAAACAAACCUAUAGUCCCAUAGGGUAAAAGCAGACCCCAAAGAACAUGGUUACAGGCAAGGGCUCUCUUUGGAUCCUAAUGACAGAUGCUCCAGAGAGCAUCUCUAAUCUGAGGACAAAAGCUUCUAUACAAUGAUUUGCUUGAAUGAAUUGAGGUAAGAGCAGACCACCCCUUUCUACACCCCCAAUCCCUCAGGUGCAGAGAGAAGUUUUCUGGUGAAGUGGAUGGUACCUGUGUAUUAUUACAAACCCAGCUCUGUGUGGGUUCAGCUGCUUUGUAGAAGAGGGACUUGAUCUAGACCAAUGAGGAUGAAUUCUUGUCAUCAUCUCUUCCACCGCCAUCACCAAAUAGGCAUCAUCCUAGACCACUUCAAUAGCCUUUUAAACAGUCCACCUAGAUCCACCCUGGCCCGCCUCCAAUCAGUUGUCCACUCAGCAGCUUGAAUGAUCUUUCCAAAACACAAAUCGAUGGUUUCCAUUGCUCCUCAAAUAAAGACCGGAAUUCCUAACAUGGCCUAUAAUGUCCUAUAUGGUUUGGCCCUUUAUACCAUUCUAGCCUCAUCUUGCUCCCCAUCCCCCAUUGGCCUUCUUUCUGUCCCACACACUCACGGAACUCCCUCCCAUCCCAGGGCAUAUGCUCUUCUCCACCCUCAUCACCGGGUGAACUCCUAUUCAUACUUCAGGGAUCAUUUCCAGGUUACCUCCUCAGAGCAGCCUUCCCUGACCAGACUGAAGUCCCCUAUUAUAGGCUCUCACUUGCCAUGUAGUGUGCCUCUCCUUCAUUGCAUGGUCACAACUGCAAUUUUACUGUUGUAAU